GAUUGAUCUUGUCGGUGGCUUUCCUUUAUCUUGAAGAUUAAGCCAUGCAUGUCUAAGUAUGAACUGGUUUAAGGUGAAACUGCGUACGGCUCAUUACAUCAGCUAUAACUUUCUUUGAUCAUAAAUUCUAAAUGGAAUAACCGAGGAAAAGCCUGGGCUAAUACAUGCGACAAUUCCGAUAGUAAUAUCGGAAUGCUUUUAUUAGAUCAAAACCUUCUAGUUUCUUUACGGGAACUGUUUGUUGGUGACUCUAAAUAACUUUGUGUUGAUCGUAUGACCUUUGUGUCGACGACAUAUCUUUCAAGUGUCUGACUUAUCAACUUUAGACGGUACAUUAUAUGUCUACCGUGGUUGUAACGAGUACAGAGAAUCAGGGUUUGGUUCUGGAGAGGCCGCCUGAGAAACGGCGACCACUUCCAAGGAAGGCAGCAGGCGCGCAAAUUACCCACUCUCAAAACGAGGAGGUAGUGAAGAGAAAUAACGAUGUUAGUCUUUUUAAGGCUGACAAUCGGAAUGGGAACACUGUAAACAGGUUAUCGAUUAACAAUUGGAGGGCAAGUCUGGUGCCAGCAGCCGCGGUAAUUCCAGCUCCAAUAAGGAAAACUAAAGUUGCUGUGUUUAAAAAGCUCGUAGUUGAAUUUCGGGUAUUUGUUGCUAGCUGGUCUAACUGGCCAUGUUGGUUAACAGAUCCUCAUUUGCUGGACAGCUAGCGAUGAUCUUCAUCGAUUGUCGUCAGUUGCCAGAACGUUUACUUUGAGAAAAUUAGAGUGCUAAAAGCAGGCUCACGCCUAUAUAUAUUGCAUGGAAUAAUGAAAUAAGAUCUCGAUUUUAUUUCGUUGGUUUUAGAAGUUGAGAUAAUGAUUAAUAGGAUCAGAGGGGGGCGUACGUACUGUGGUGUGAGAGGUGAAAUUCUUGGAUCGCCACAGGACGAACAGCAGCGAAGGCGUUCGCCAAGAAUGUUUUCAUUAAUCAAGAACGAAAGUUUGAGGUUCGAAGACGAUUAGAUACCGUCCUAGUUCAAACCAUAAACGUUGCCAACUGUCUUUUAGAUGCGGUUAUUUAUAUGACUCAUCUGGCGGAUCUCGAGAAAUCUAAGUUUUUAGGUUCCGGGGGAAGUAUGGUUGCAAAGCUGAAACUUAAAAGAAUUGACGGAAGGACACACAAGAAGUGGAGCCUGUGGCCUAAUUUGACCCAACACGGGAAACCUUACUCGGCCAGGACACUUUUAGGAUUGACAGAUUGAGAGCUCUUUCU
rnacentral:rRNA from 1 species